UGUCUGCUGUUCAUGCAUAUUUUCCUCCUUAACUUUAUCUUCUCUCUUUAUUUCAUUUCUCUGUGAACUCAUGUGAUGACUGGAGUUGACCAACAAUUAAAGCAGAAGAAGACCUGCUCCACCUGCUGAUCUACUGGUUGUAACAGCUUGUGGGAAAGCAUCACUGGACCAAUCAGGCGAGAGAAGACAGAGAGGACUGAGGACUAAAACGAAAAUACUCUGCCUGCCAAAAAAGGCAGACGAUCCAGUGGCCCCAGGUUUACACACCAUCUGCUGGUUUGAGGCAGACUGACCGCUGGGGAGAUGGACCUCACCUGGCACCAUUACUCUGGAUGUAACAGGUAGCUCGACUCUCCUGUCCAUUAAAACAUCAAUGACUCGAGAAGCGGACAGCGAGGUUUCUGGUGCCUGGCUGGAGACGAGAUUCUGAUUAUUCAAGAGCCAAAACAAAACGUCAGAAUAAAUAGUUAGAAGGCAGAUUUGUUUUCUAUUUGUUAUUGUUUUCAUUAUUAAUGCUCCAUAACACAAAAUUCAUCAGUGCUGUAACUCUUGAGUUGAAUAAAAUGUUCUUCUUUCAA